CCUGCCUCUAAAAGCAUUGCAGCUGUGGCUACUGUGUCAUAUGUGCAUCAGUAGAUGACAGAGAAGAGAGAGGCGAUGUCUAUGCUCAGUGCUCUGACCUGUGAACAUCUGAAUGAUUAGUAGCCUAAUAUU